UACGUAGGUGGCAAGCGUUGUCCGGAAUUAUUGGGCGUCAAGCGCGCGCAGGUGGUUUCUUAAGUCUGAUGUGAAAGCCCACGGCUCAACCGUGGAGGGUCAUUGGAAACUGGGGAACUUGAGUGCAGAAGAGGAAAGUGGAAUUCCAAGUGUAGCGGUGAAAUGCGUAGAGAUUUGGAGGAACACCAGUGGCGAAGGCGACUUUCUGGUCUGUAACUGACACUGAGGCGCGAAAGCGUGGGGAGCGAACAGG
rnacentral:rRNA from 1 species